rnacentral:rRNA from 1 species
UACGGAGGGGGCUAGCGUUGUUCGGAAUUACUGGGCGUAAAGCGCACGUAGGCGGCUUUGUAAGUUAGAGGUGAAAGCCUGAUGCUCAACAUCAGAAUUGCCUUUAAGACUGCAUCGCUUGAACGUCGGAGAGGUAAGUGGAAUUCCGACUGUAGAGGUGAAAUUCGUAGAUAUUCGGAAGAACACCAGUGGCGAAGGCGGCUUACUGGACGACUGUUGACGCUGAGGUGCGAAAGCGUGGGGAGCAAACAGG